rnacentral:rRNA from 35 species
GCGACCCCAGGUCAGGCGGGGUUACCCGCUGAAUUUAA